UUUAAAGAGAGUUUGAUCCUGGCUCAGGACGAACGCUGGCGGCGUGCCUAAUACAUGCAAGUCGAACGAACGGAGGAAGAGCUUGCUCUUCCAAAGUUAGUGGCGGACGGGUGAGUAACACGUGGGCAACCUGCCUGUAAGUUGGGGAUAACUCCGGGAAACCGGGGCUAAUACCGAAUGAUAAAGUGUGGCGCAUGCCACGCUUUUGAAAGAUGGUUUCGGCUAUCGCUUACAGAUGGGCCCGCGGUGCAUUAGCUAGUUGGUAGGGUAAUGGCCUACCAAGGCAACGA
rnacentral:rRNA from 1 species